UCGUAGGUGGUUUGUCGCGUUGUUCGUGAAAUCUCACGGCUUAACUGUGAGCGUGCGGGCGAUACGGGCAGACUUGAGUACUGCAGGGGAGACUGGAAUUCCUGGUGUAGCGGUGGAAUGCGCAGAUAUCAGGAGGAACACCGGUGGCGAAGGCGGGUCUCUGGGCAGUAACUGACGCUGAGGAGCGAAAGCGUGGGGAGCGAACAGGAUUAGAUACCCUGGUAGUCCACGCCGUAAACGGUGGGUACUAGGUGUGGGUUUCCUUCCUUGGGAUCCGUGCCGUAGCUAACGCAUUAAGUACCCCGCCUGGGGAGUACGGCCGCGAGGCUAAAACUCAAAGAAAUUGACGGGGGCCCGCACAAGCGGCGGAGCAUGUGGAUUAAUUCGAUGCAACGCGAAGAACCUUACCUGGGUUUGACAUGCACAGGACGCCGGCAGAGAUGUCGGUUCCCUUGUGGCCUGUGUGCAGGUGGUGCAUGGCUGUCGUCAGCUCGUGUCGUGAGAUGUUGGGUUAAGUCCCGCAACGAGCGCAACCCUUGUCUCAUGUUGCCAGCGGGUAAUGCCGGGGACUCGUGAGAGACUGCCGGGGUCAACUCGGAGGAAGGUGGGGAUGACGUCAAGUCAUCAUGCCCCUUAUGUCCAGGGCUUCACACAUGCUACAAUGGCCGGUACAAAGGGCUGCGAUGCCGCGAGGUUAAGCGAAUCCUUUUAAAGCCGGUCUCAGUUCGGAUCGGGGUCUGCAACUCGACCCCGUGAAGUCGGAGUCGCUAGUAAUCGCAGAUCAGCAACGCUGCGGUGAU
rnacentral:rRNA from 1 species